rnacentral:lncRNA from 1 species
UCUUCUUUCUUUCUUCGUUUUUACAAGCAUACUUUAUAGGAUCUCUCUUAAUAAGUUCAAUACAUUGGAAGUAGUGGUUCCCAUGGUUGCAGAAAAAUAUAAGUUUAGACUUCGCUUGCCUUCACAUUGAAAGUAGCGGUUCCCAUGGUUGCAGAAAAAUGUAAGUUUAGACUUCAUUAACCUUACCUCUGAGGCUAGAUUCUCAAAGACUUCAUGUUGACCUAUGAAAUCAGGCUAAUAAAGGACUUCAUACACGAUUGCCGAUACAUCAAAAAGUUCACCCCCUUUUGCCUUGUUUAUUUUAUACCUACCAGAUAAAGCUAGAAACCCUUCCUGGUGGCCAGAUGAAAUAGAACUCAGACAACAAUGGCAACAAGAAAUCACUGAAUAAGCUAUUCCACCACCAGAAAAUUAUUACUUGCACAAAUAAGAAAAAGUCAAUUUCCAUUUUCAUCUCAAGAUUUCGCACGCUUCUCAAGCAAUACUUAUCCCAAUUGUUGACUUGACAGCUAUCAUGGAUGCAUGAAAAUGUCUGCACUCUAUGUGCAAUUGCAAUAGCCAUUUAUUGCUUAUCUAUUUGUACACAAAGCACCCAAAAUGUUGAAGCAAUAACUUAAGGAAUGAGUAACCCAAAAUUUCAACUAAAAAAUUUCCGUAUCAAUGAAGCAAUUCAAGGAUACAUGUUUAGCACCACAAAAAAAACUGAGUUAUAUGAUUUAAAAGUGAUUUUAUAGCAUUCCAGUGUCCUGUCUCUUUCUCUUUACUUUACAAGGAAGAUAGUGAUAAUUUUUUGAUUUUUAUCAGCUCUAAUGUCCAGCACAGAUUUAUAAAACUAGAUAGUGCGUUGACAUAAGUGAUGAUUACAAAAGAUACAGGUAGAUAACAUUAAAUGGGUGAAACCUGAAGAUGAAACCUUAAUAUGGCAUAUUCUUCAAGGAGGAUUAAAUUCCCAUCUCUUAACAGAAGAGGAAAAAGUAGAUUAUUCAUAUAAAAUCAGCUUGAGGGCAAACACAUACAAAUCUAUUCAAAAAAGUAAGGUGACUGGAUAGGAUUGGUUAUGAGAAUAUCCUAUGCAUAGUUGAGAACUGUGAAAACCACUUGAUUGUGCACAUGAUAACAGUUUGACAUUAAUUCCUCCAUUUAUACGUUCACAUGACUUGCAAAUCAAAAGCCUCAGCAUUGUAAUGCGUACUCAAAACUCCUAAUAACAGUACCAAAUAAAGAGUAUAUCCAUCAGUUGAAACUUAAAUUCACUGUCAUAAAUAUGAGAAUUUCAAGCUUUAUAAGUUCACCCACACACCCCUAUGCACCUAACAUUUGAUUCGGCAAAGUGUUGAAAGCACAAUACUGAAUGCAUAUUUUUUUGGAGCAUUUGAUAGAACAGGUAGAGUGCAGGAUUAGGUUAAACAAGUUCUUCUAUUUUUGAUUACUUGUUUAUGAUUGAACCCUUAUUCAGUUGAAACUAACUCCAAAUCCAUUAUAGUGGGUUCAGAUAAUAUGAUCAUCAAUUAAACUACUGUAGCAAAGCAU